AAGGCCUUCACAAUAUGUAAGUUCCAAAAUAUUGCUAUUUACAGCAGGUUCAGCGCAAAUAUUGCAACAGUCACCUUGUGAUUCAUCUUCCACCUCUAGAAGUCAUCAGCUUUGGCCUUUUUGCAGACUGUUCAUCUGAUUCUGAAACCAAAUCUUCAUAGCUACUCGGUACAUUAUUUUUGCUGAUGAUGUUUCCCAUCAAGUUAAACUCUUCAUCGGAUGGGGCAAGGUCAUUUCCGUUAUUCAUGCUCUUUGCCUCUUGAGAAUCUUCAACAACAUAAGUUGUAAGGUCCGCAGAGGAAGUUGCAGAAAAUACCUGGUCAUCUAACCCUAUUUCUGAUGAUUUCUGCGACCCACUGAUAGUUGUUCCAGAACUUGAGUCAUCAACAGAAGGUUCCUCAGCCUGCACAUAGUUCUGUUUACAAGGAUCAUCUGUAUCUGAUGAUGAAUCAGAGAUUUGCUCACCAUUUUCUUCUGCCUCCUUUAUAGGUGACAUGAAACUUAGAUGACUUGCUCCCAUUUGUGAGUAAUUUCUACUGUAAAAGAGUCUAGCACUAGUUUCUGGCUCAAACAAUUCCCCAGAAUCCAAUCCUGGUUCUUUAAUUUGUUGUGGCAACACUCCCAGAGCAGAGGCUGAUGGAAGUGAAAUCCCAAUUCCCAGUUCAGUAUUAGGACCACAAAAAUCACCCUGGCACAUUUUCAGUGAACUGCCUCAACUCUAAUCCCGUUUCUUGCUCAUUUGUAUUGGCAAAUUGGGAGCAAGGAUGCUUAUCAAUGGAUUCCACUUUAG
rnacentral:misc_RNA from 1 species